AACGAACGCUGGCGGCAGGCCUAACACAUGCAAGUCGAGCGCCCCUUCGGGGGAGCGGCGGACGGGUUAGUAACGCGUGGGAACGUGCCCAGAUCUACGGAAUAGCCUUUGGAAACGAAGAGUAAUACCGUAUACGCCCUUCGGGGGAAAGAUUUAUCGGAUUUGGAUCGGCCCGCGUUAGAUUAGUUAGUUGGUGGGGUAACGGCCUACCAAGACGACGAUCUAUAGCUGGUUUGAGAGGAUGAUCAGCAACACUGGGACUGAGACACGGCCCAGACUCCUACGGGAGGCAGCAGUGGGGAAUCUUAGACAAUGGGCGCAAGCCUGAUCUAGCCAUGCCGCGUGAGUGACGAAGGCCUUAGGGUCGUAAAGCUCUUUCGCCAGGGAUGAUAAUGACAGUACCUGGUAAAGAAACCCCGGCUAACUCCGUGCCAGCCGCCGCCGUAACAC
rnacentral:rRNA from 1 species